UAGAUACUAUAUAUACCAAGUGGAUGCGAAACAGGAAGUGGAUUGUACAUGAAAUUAUAUUGGUGACGUCACGAGCAGUAUGCCUAUGCUCUUUUCGCUCUAGCGUAGCCUCUACUGGCCUUGUUUCUCGAAGUUUUGGGUUCUUGGUCAAGUUACUACUUUCCUGAGUUGAAGUAAGUAUUAUGAAGUCUCUAUUAGCUCGAAUGACCUGCUGAAUCCUUGUUUGCUUGAUCACUGGAUCUCGUUGUACUGUAAAACAUGGCGGCCUAUAGUUCUGACUUUAAACACCUUUUCUCCAAUCUGGGGCAGAGCUAGUAAGUGUUAUUUGGGUAGAAGAAGGAUAUUAUUGUGUUACAUGGUCUGUAACUACUAGCUUUCCACUGCAGUUUUAUAAAAUAGAAAUAUAUCCAUUUUUUAGUUUAUUAAUGGUCUGUUUUGUAAACGCCUUUUCUGGAAAACUAUGCGAUUUGAAGAGGUAUAAUUUUGUAUGUGUCUACGUACAUGCCUUUUGUACGGUUUGUAUAUUUUCAUAAUUAUUUUAAAGCUAUGUUUCUUCAAAAAAAGGUAUGAAUAUGAAACCAAUGAAGAUAAAUUGUCUGUUGUUUCUUGUAUUGACUCUUUUCAGAAGAAAUAUAGAUUUUUAUGAAGUUUUUU